rnacentral:rRNA from 1 species
GACGAACGCUGGCGGCGUGCUUAACACAUGCAAGUCGAACGGAAAGGCCCUGCUUUUUUGGGGUGCUCGAGUGGCGGAGGGGUGAGUUACACGUGAGUACCCUGCCCUUCCCUUUGGGAUAACUUCAUGAAACUGGGGCUAAUACCGGAUAGGAGCUCCUGCUGCAUGGUGGGGGUUGGAAAUUUUCGGCGGUUGGGGAUGGAAUCGCGGCUUAUCAGCUUGGUGGUGGGGUAGUGGCUUACCAAGGCUUUGACUGGUAGCCGACCUGGGAGGGUGACCGGACACACGACGACUGAGAGAGGGCGCAGACGCCUACGUGAGGCAGCAGGGGGGAAUAUUACACAGUGAGCGGAAGCCUGAGGCAGCAACGCCGCGUGCGGGAAGCCGGCCUGCGGGUAGUGAAACGCUGUCGCCUGAGACGCAGCGUUAGUGACGGUACUGGGUAAAGAAGCACCGGCUAACUACGUG